AGACUAGGGUCUGAUUCAUUGGCUGAGUGCCGCUACCUGGCUGCAGGAGAAGCCUGGGUCUCCGUCCUGUAAUAGUCAUCAUGCUUUAAGGAACCUUCACAUUUUUGAACAGUUACAUAGUGUCCCCCGUUAAAGAAAGAAAGAGGAAGUCUGGAGUCCGUUUCCGGCAGCUAGCAGAGAGCUGUUUUCCUCCCUUUGACAUUAGCAAGGUAUAAGGACUGAGAUUUCUUUUAUCCAACAUUCCAGACGUUAUGAGCAUGAAUGAGUUCAGGAAUCUUGAAUUCUAGGACUUCCACCUUUUCAUGUAGAAGAAGUACUUUACGGUCUCUCUUUGGCAAAUCCCAUUUUGUGCAUUAAGGUCACCAUCAAAAACAAUAAGAGAUUCUUGAACAUAAGCACUGUUGAUAGCAUGAUAGUAAAUCUGAUCAUCAAGAUGACUGAGGAGAACCUAUGAGGAAGGUAGCAUACACUGUGGUGAUAUGCUGAACAAUGGUAUGAUUCACAUUCCAAGGAGGGAAGAGGAUGAGGUAACUGAGUCUGCUGAAAGCAAAACUAUGGAUAGAGAGAUACUACUCCAACGUCCACAAACAGAUAGCAUGGUCUGAGUUCCUGCUUUGCUUCAGGCAUUUAUAGUGUGAAGCAAGAUGGAAGAUCCACAUGGGAAAGGCUAUUGGGCUCCAUUCUACGAAGUUAGUGUGCUGCAUUGUCAAUAAGCAAACCGAAGG